UACGUAGGGUGCGAGCGUUGUCCGGAAUUAUUGGGCGUAAAGGGCUCGUAGGCGGUUUGUCGCGUCGGGAGUGAAAAUCCAGGGCUUAACUCUGGACUGGCUUUCGAUACGGGCAGACUAGAGGUAUGCAGGGGAGAACGGAAUUCCUGGUGUAGCGGUGAAAUGCGCAGAUAUCAGGAGGAACACCGGUGGCGAAGGCGGUUCUCUGGGCAUUACCUGACGCUGAGGAGCGAAAGUGUGGGGAGGCGAACAGG
rnacentral:rRNA from 1 species